UCAAACUUGGUCAUUUAGAGGAAGUAAAAGUCGUAACAAGGUUUCCGUAGGUGAACCUGCGGAAGGAUCAUUACCGAAUGACUGCACCUCGCCGUGCGUAGGUGCUGGUUGGUGCCUCUUUGAUCCCUUGAUCUUGGUGCUCCUCAUUCGAGAUGGGUGCCCUUUUCAAGGUGUCGUACGCUUACAUGCAAAACCCGUCAUCGUAUGGUGUUGAACUUUGAACAUAUAAUAUAACUUUCAACAACGGAUCUCUUGGCUCUCGCAUCGAUGAAGAACGCAGC
rnacentral:misc_RNA from 1 species